CAGUUCGGUCCUUAUCCACUGUGGGCGCAGGAAACUUGAGGGGUUCAAACCUUAGUACGAGAGGACCGGGUUUGACGCACUUCUGGUGUGGCAAUUGUUUCGUCAGAAGCAUCGUUGCGUAGCCAUGUGCGGAAGAGAUAAGCGCUGAAAGCAUCUAAGUGCCAAGCUCAUCCCAAGAUAUUGUUUCCCGGAGCUCUAAGCUCCCUAAAGACCCCAUGUAGACCACGUGGUUGAUAGGUUAGGCGUGCAAGCGCUGCAAGGCGUUUAGCGGACUAAUACUAAUCGGUCGUGCGGCUUGAUUGC
rnacentral:ncRNA from 1 species